ACAAAAGGCAAACCUCCAAAGAGAUUUGCUGAUGAGUUUGCUAAGAUAGCAGUAACAGCUGUUAAAAGCUCCAAGAAGGUAUUUGAACCUUCAAGUUUCCAAGAAAUCCAGGGUUUGGAUUCAAAGGAAGCUGAGCCAUGGUUAAAUGCCAUGAAGGCUGAGCUUGAUUCCUUAGAAAGGAACAAAACAUGGGAGCUAGUUCCAGUAGUUCCAGGAAUGAAACUGCUUGGAAGCAAAUGGGUCUUCAAAGCGAAGACAGAUCAAAAUGGCAAGAUAGUCAGACACAAAGCCAGAUUGGUAGCCAGAGGUUUUGCACAGGUACCAGGUGAAGACUAUCACGAGACCUAUUCACCCACAGUGAGAUAUGAAAGCAUUAGGCUUAUGCUUAAGCUAGCUGCAGAGGAAAAUCUACACAUUAGUCACCAUGAUAUUAAUACAGCUUUUCUGUACGGAUCUCUAGAUGAAUCACUUUAUAUGCUUCCACCUGAUGGCGUACAGGUAAAACAGGGAUUUGUUUGUGCUCUGAAGAAAUCCCUUUAUGGUCUCAAACAAAGUGCACGGUGUUGGCACACAAAACUCACUGAAGUAUUGUUUUCUCUAGGUUUUCAGCAAGGGAAAGCUGAUCCAUGUGUAUUUGUCAAAGAGGAGGGGCAAAAGAAACUGUACUGUUUGUUUUAUGUUGAUGAUUUAUUAUUCUUUUGGAAAGAUGUUGCAAUGUACAAUAGCGCCCUAGCUCAACUGAAAGAGCACUUUGACACGAAAGAUCUUGGUGAGGUAAACAACUACCUAUCUCUGGAAAUAGAGAGAGAUCAAGAUGGUAACAUUCUAGUACACCAGUCACGGAAAAUUGCUGAUGUGUUAAGCAAACUAAAUCUGAUGGAUGCUAACCCUGUAAACACACCGAUGACAACAGGUUAUCAGGUAGAUGACACUGAAGAAGCAUUUUCUGACACUACACUGUACAGGAGUGUGCUAGGCAAGCUAAACUUCAUUGCCAGAUGUUCAAGACCAGACAUUGCUGUUAGCUGUAAUUUGCUAAGCAGACAAGUCAACAAUCCUAGUGUCAAGGAUUGGAAAGCUCUGAAACGCAUAGCGCGGUAUUUGAAAGGCACUAUGCAUUACAGACUGAGAUUUAACAAUCAGAAGUCUGGUGGUCUUGAGAUAUUUGCAGAUGCAAGUUUUGGAAGUGACGCUACAGACAGGAAAAGUACGUCUGGAGUUUGCUACAUGUACAAUCAGGGUCUUUUUGAUUGGUCAUGCAAGAAGCAAACAACAGUUAGCUUAAAUACUUGUGAAGCCGAACUGAAUGCACUGUCUUAUUCACUUAAGGAUUGUGAAUGGUUAGUACAAUUGUGCAAAGAUAUGAAAAUUCCUGUCAAAUGUCCAAUCCAGGUUUACCAGGACAACAAAGCAUGUUUGGCUUUGCUGAAGUCUGAAGGUUGUAAGCUAAAGCACAAAGCACUUGCAAUUAAAGUUGCAGCAUGCUAGGGAAUGUAUUCAGAAGGGACUCGUAACGGUGUCCUAUAUGCCAGGUAAUGAAAUUCCUGCUGAUGUAUUGUCCAAGAUUGUAUCAAGGGAUCAACACUGUACCUAUGUGCAGAAGUUGGGUUUGUACUGAUAUUGUGCAAACACGCUGCCCAGUGAUGUUCACAGAAAGGAGGAGGAUGUUGGUUUCUAUUUCCUCACUGAGCAGCAACUGCAGUCACAAGACAUUGUUUUACAUUCCACAGUCUGUACUGUUGGAGUUUCUCACGGGAAAGGGAGACUGGAUGUGACGUACACUGGUUUCCUGUUUUUCACUGUGUGAUUCUCUCCAAGCUGUCGAGGAGAGAGGAUGCAUUUUUCUGCUCCUGCAGACGCAAGAUGUCUUUCUGUAAUAUACCAGCUUUGAACUGUAAAUAAAGCAAUAUAGAGUAUGGAGCACAUUUUCCUCAUCCUUCCGCUGGGCACGACAGACUCUGCUUUAAAUCAACACGCAGAACAUUCAACAAUGGAGGCCUGGGCAAGGGGGCAGGGCUGGAAAGGGACCCAGCGAUCAACCACACAUUCGCUCCAUAAGAUGCACAGACAUUUACAGACAUUUCCCCUUACUUUUUAGGAGGGAAAAGGUGUGUCUUAUGGAACGAAAAAUACGGUAGUUGCACCACGAAAUCUUUCUUCAAGCGCCUGCUCACACUCCCUCCUUCCGUAUGGCGCUGGCAUUUGGCAGAUGGGGAGGGUUUUACAGAUAGGAGGCACUCUUCAUCCCUCAUGAAAACAAAGGCGAAAUGAGGCAAAUUGUAUCAGCUCAUUUCUUUUCCUCCAACUGCCUCUUACGCUGCAAUCGCUCCAUUUCCCAGUUGCAUGCCGGGAGAUAACUAACAAGACAAAUGGGAUGAUGUUAGCUGUCUUAUUCCUGAUACUGUCUGAUGCUAGCCUGCAUUGUUCAAAUUAAUUAAUGCCACAUCAUUAUCUUUAGAUGGCAGGCAGAUGUUGGGGUUAUGCUUGUUGUGAACCUUGAACACUUCUACUUCACAGAUCAAGAGCAGUUGCUUUAUAACAGAGAAAUCAAGGUCUAGGCCUACUGGCAGCGAGUUGGUUUGGUAAUUAUCUUAGUAAUAGGCCUCCGUUAUUAUGCAGUGAAGGUCCUCUUUCCUCUGCUGAUGGGUCAUGGCAAACCCGCGGGAUCCAUAUAUGGUCCAGUUCUAAUUUCUCCCCUGUAAAUGACUUGCCAUCUGUCAGCCGUUCAAGUUCACCUAUUGCCAUUCCAGAAACACCAAUAAAUUAAUUGCAGACUUGCAGGUUCAACUAAGAUCAUAAAAUUGAUUUAGGCUGUGAUUUUUUUGUCGUCCCCUCACCAUCACCAAAAAAAAGAGAGGCAAAGCUGAGCUGCUAAAAAUAAUCAAGCAUAUUUGGCCAGGAAAUGAAGUUCAGGACAUUUUAUAUUGGUUUGCAAUCGAGGUGGUUUCUAUUUUGAUAAAAAGUCUGAUUUAAUGGGUAAAUCUGAUGCCCAUCCAAUUUGCAGAAUCUAAAUCCUUCUGCUAUCUUUCCUUUUGCUGAGUGAUGUUGGAGACGUCUGGAGAAUGUGUGUGGAAGUCGUUUACAGUGGUAUCUUGUUGUUUUCUGUAUUUGGGUUGCUGUCAGUGGGUAACACAGUCCUGGUGUUCUUGCUAGAUUUUGCAGGAUCCAUGAGAUACAGGGUCAGGGUGUUAUGUAUUGAAGUUCUCACCCUGGGCCAGCAGGGGGGAUACUGUAGAUAGUUUUCACUCAGGUCCGCAUAUGCAAAUAAGGAAUUGAAAGUGAAGUUCAGUGAUUGGAUAGUUACAGAAAGUUGUUACUGUUGCUUUGGUAGUUGAGCUCUAUAUAAGCAGGUUGGCUGAACCCUUCAGCUCAGUUCUGCGCCUGUGAAUAAACAAGAGCUGUUUGAAGAAUCGCUGUGUGGUCUGAUAUGUUCACCAACAACUUAACACAGGGGUUCUUGCAUAUGUGAAUAUUGAUAUGCUACUGGGGGGACAUUUCCAGACCACAGUGGCACAAUAAACAGCAUUGCCUCCGACAGCCGUAGCAGCAGUAAUAUCCGUUGUGCUCAAACUAAAAGGCUCUCAAUCGAUUUGGUGAGCUCUUAUAUGUAGGAAUUGGGGUGAAAGGGAGCCUCUUCGAUAAUCAAUACAAGAGAUACAGCUUUUCAGAGAAAAGAUCAAAGCUUUGCAGCCCACCGUGCUGGGUGGAAGGUUGAGGAACGGCCUCUCCAGGAAAUCUACUCUUAUGCACAAUAACCGUGCAGAGUACGUCUUAUCCAAAGGCAGAAUAGGGACAAAAAGAUACAGGGAGAAAUCCUAUGCACAAGAAGCAGGCCAGAACGCUUCCGAGCACAAUACAAAGUGUUGGUGCUGACCUUUAAAGCCCUAAACUGUUGGUUUCUAUUUCCCUCACUGAGCAGCAACUGCAGUCACAAGACAUUGUUUUGCAUUCCACAGUCUGUACUGUUGGAGUUUCUCACGGGAAAGGGAGACUGGAUGUGACGUACACUGGUUUCCUGUUUUUUCACUGUGAUUCUCUCCAAGCUGUUGAGGAGAGAGGAUGCAUUUUUCUGCUCCUGAAGAGGCAAGAUGUCUUUCUGUAAUAUACCAGCUUUGAACUGUAAAUAAAAGCAAUAUAUGGAGUAUGCAGCACAUUUUCCUCAUCCUUCCGCUGGGCACGACAGACUCUGCUUAAAUCAACACGUGGUUAUGGGCUCCAGAGGACGGAUCGGAAUGCAGAGGGACGGAUCGGAAAGGAAUCUGCUCUGCGCGUAGAAGUGAUUGAUGAGGUAUGUGCUACUGCUCCGGGCAGCCUGCCAGCUUCAAGUUAAUGGCUUUAUGGCUGGACUUUGAACUUUUAAAGCCGGUUUUGACGGGAAUAGGCAAAAGGCUCCCAGGCACAAGUCACUAUGCUGGGGAAAUCGAAAGUAACUUUUAAGUGUGCUUUUGGAUAAGGCAGCUGCAGCAGUGACGCAGCAAGAUUUAAAGCAGCAUAUGACGCUGAAGGCUAAUGCCAGAGUUAUGAUGGCCCUUCAGGAUGCUUGUGGGAUUCCUAAGCUCAACAAGAAAAAUUACAGCGACUGGGUUCAGUAUGCAGAGGCAAUUCUGCGGAAAGAGGGUUUGUUUGAGGUGAUUACAGGAACCCCCCCAGUUCCAGUUACAGAUGCAUGGGAAGCUAAGGAUUCCAAAGCAAGGGGAACUCUUACAUUGAUAGUAUCCCCAGAAGAGCUCUGUCUAUUGCGUGAUAAGACCUCAGCCAGAGAAAUUUGGGACGCUCUGAGAGAGGCUCACUUAAGGACAGAAGCUGGAUCCACAAUGUUUUAUUUUAACAAGCUGCAUAAUAUGGCUCUUGCUGAAGGUGGAGAUGUGCGUUUACAUCUAAUGGAGAUGCAAAAUCUCAGACAUGAGCUGCAACAGAGAGGACUCAACUUUCCAGAGGCUGUGUAUUCUUUCAUGAUACUACAAUCUUUGGGUUCAGGUUGGGAGUCUGUUGCAACCCAGAUUGCUGUGCAACCAACUGCUCAGCUGACAGUGGACUUUGUUACUGCCGUGAUUUUAAAUGAAGCAGAUCGCCGGGUGCUGGCUGCAUGGGCAAGGGGGAGUCUUCACAGACGUCAUCCCAUAGUGCAGUGGAACCACCAGAUGGCGCCAAAGCUAUGAAGGCAGUAAAAUGCUACUCGUGUGGACGUCUAGGCCAUAUGAAGAGGGAAUGCAGACAUCCCAGGGCCAAGACAGAGCAGCGCAGCGAAAGCUCAUCGCGCGGAAAAGGCCGAGGCAAAGGCAAAGGUCCGGUGUCUAGGACAACGCAGCACAAGGCUAUGGUUUCACGCUUCACUCCAAAGGUUGCAGAGGUCCAGAAGACGUCUAGAUCUUUCUUCGUUGUUGAUUCAGCGGCGACCCACCACAUGUGCAACGAUAAGAAACUGUUUGUGUCUUUUACACCGCAGGAAGGUGCGAUUCACCAGGCGGAUGACCACACUAUUCCCAGUAAAGGCUACGGAACUGUUGUUCUUCACAGUUUGGACUUAUCGAUACAGAAUGUGCUUUACGUGCCAGACGCCAAACAUAAUCUGCUCAGCGUUGGACAGCUGAAUGAGCGGAACAUUGACGUUUCCUUCAAGAACAAGAAGUGCAUCAUCACAAAGAAAAAUGAUUAUGUAUUGCAUGCAGAAUAUGUUGAUCAUUUGUUUGUUUUGUAUUAUGAUGAUGUGGUGCAGGAUGACACUUGUUGCAUUGCAGGUUCUAACAAAAGUUUGCAUGCAGAAUGUAUUCACGAUUUUCAUCGCAAAUUUGGUCAUUUGCAUUUUGAGGCAGUAUCUAAAAUGCCUGCCUUGGUUGAAGGUAUGACUAUUAAACCCUGCAGGUACCACAUGAAGUGCAAAGCAUGCGCAGCAAACAAGGUGAAAAUGGCUGCGAAAGGUAAGGUGUCUAGUAGGAAAGCUACAGAACCAUACCAGGUUGUUCAUGCUGAUUUGGUUGGACCACUUGCGCCCUCUUUGGGUGGAAAUAGAUACUUCAUGGUUCUCAUUGAUGCAUUUUCUAGAUAUAUUUUUGUGUACAAUCUCAAGCAGAAAUCGGAGGCUUUUCCUAGGUUCAAGGAAUUCUGUGCUUGGUUGGAAAAUGUGCAUGGUAAGAAGAUAAAGACUCUUUUCAGUGAUCGCGGGGGGGAAUUCACUUCUCAGCAGUUUGAAGCUUUUCUGACUGAGAAAGGAAUUCAACACGAUUUGUCUAGUCCUCGCUCGCCAUGGCAGAAUGGACUUGCGGAACGGGCAAAUCAGACAUUGCUUCAAGGAUUAAAAACCUUGCUGCAUGAUGCCAAUCUUCCAGAGAGUUAUUGGGCCGAAUCUCUCUCGUGUUUUGUUUACAGUUACAAUCGCAGGUUAGCUUCAGCGAUUGGUUGUACUCCUAUGAGAAGAUGUUUGGCAAGAAGCCAUACAUCAAACACAUGAAGAUUUUUGGUUCUGACAUGUGGGUUCGCUCACCACAAAACUCCAAGUUAGACAAGCGUGGAUUGCAUGGUAUCUUUCUAGGUUAUCAGAAAGGGUCUUACAGAAUAAUGAUGACUGACUCUAAAACAAUUAAGCUCACGAGAAGUGUUGAGUACAAUGCAAAGUGGGGGGGAAUGUGGGAAUUUUCCAAUGUUAUCCUGAUGACGGUGAUGAGACUGAGGAUAGUCAAAAGCAACCACAACAGCCCACACCCACUGAUGAAGGUUCUGAGUCUGAAUCUGAAACUGAAUCGGGUGAUUCAGAGGAUUUCAAGAGUGCGAAAGCCUCUAUGCGACCCUCUGAAAGCUCUGAUCAAGAAUUGGAAGAACCAUUGUUCACAAUAGGUCGUUUUUCUCCUAAGAAGGAAGAGGAGAGUGUUGAAGACUUAAGGAUAAUUCGUAGGUCACAGAGAGCCACAAAAGGCAAACCUCCAAAGAGAUUUGCUGAUGAGUUUGCUACGAUAGCAGUAACAGCUGUUAAAAGCUCCAAGAAGGUAUUUGAACCUUCAAGUUUCCAAGAAAUCCAGGGUUUGGAUUCAAAGGAAGCUGAGCCAUGGUUAAAUGCCAUGAAGGCUGAGCUUGAUUCCUUAGAAAGGAACAAAACAUGGGAGCUAGUUCCAGUAGUUCCAGGAAUGAAACUGCUUGGAAGCAAAUGGGUCUUCAAAGCGAAGACAGAUCAAAAUGGCAAGAUAGUCAGACACAAAGCCAGAUUGGUAGCCAGAGGUUUUGCACAGGUACCAGGUGAAGACUAUCACGAGACCUAUUCACCCACAGUGAGAUAUGAAAGCAUUAGGCUUAUGCUUAAGCUAGCUGCAGAAGAAAAUCUACACAUUAGUCACCAUGAUAUUAAUACAGCUUUUCUGUACGGAUCUCUAGAUGAAUCACUUUAUAUGCUUCCACCUGAUGGCGUACAGGUAAAACAGGGAUUUGUUUGUGCUCUGAAGAAAUCCCUUUAUGGUCUCAAACAAAGUGCACGGUGUUGGCACACAAAACUCACUGAAGUAUUGUUUUCUCUAGGUUUUCAGCAAGGGAAAGCUGAUCCAUGUGUAUUUGUCAAAGAGGAGGGGCAAAAGAAACUGUACUGUUUGUUUUAUGUUGAUGAUUUAUUAUUCUUUUGGAAAGAUGUUGCAAUGUACAAUAGCGCCCUAGCUCAACUGAAAGAGCACUUUGACAUGAAAGAUCUUGGUGAGGUAAACAACUACCUAUCUCUGGAAAUAGAGAGAGAUCAAGAUGGUAACAUUCUAGUACACCAGUCACGGAAAAUUGCUGAUGUAUUAACCAGGUUGAAUUUGGUUGAUGUAAACCCAGCAGACACACCGAUGACAACAGGUUAUCAGGUAGAUGACACUGAAGAAGCAUUUUCUGACACUACACUGUACAGGAGUGUGCUAGGCAAGCUAAACUUCAUUGCCAGGUGUUCAAGACCAGACAUUGCUGUUAGCUGUAAUUUGCUAAGCAGACAAGUCAACAAUCCUAGUGUCAAGGAUUGGUAUGCUCUGAAACGCAUAGCGCGGUAUUUGAAAGGCACUAUGCAUUACAGACUGAGAUUUAACAAUCAGAAGUCUGGUGGUCUUGAGAUAUUUGCAGAUGCAAGUUUUGGAAGUGACGCUACAGACAGGAAAAGUACGUCUGGAGUUUGCUACAUGUACAAUCAGAGUCUGUUUGAUUGGUCAUGCAAGAAGCAAACAACAGUUAGCUUAAGUACUUGUGAAGCCGAACUGAAUGCACUGUCUUAUUCACUUAAGGAUUGUGAAUGGUUAGUACAAUUGUGCAAAGAUAUGAAAAUUCCUGUCAAAUGUCCAAUCCAGGUUUACCAGGACAACAAAGCAUGUUUGGCUUUGCUAAAGUCUGAAGGUUGUAAGCAAAGCACAAAGCACUUGCAAUUAAAGUUGCAGCAUGCUAGGGAAUGUAUUCAGAAGGGACUCGUAACGGUGUCCUAUAUGCCAGGUAAUGAAAUUCCUGCUGAUGUAUUGUCCAAGAUUGUAUCAAGGGAUCAACACUGUACCUAUGUGCAGAAGUUGGGUUUGUACUGAUACUGUACGAACACGCUGCCCAGUGAUGUUCACAGAAAGGGGGAGGAUGUUGGUUUCUAUUUCCCUCACUGAGCAGCAACUGCAGUCACAAGACAUUGUUUUGCAUUCCACAGUCUGUACUGUUGGAGUUUCUCACGGGAAAGGGAGACUGGAUGUGACGUACACUGGUUUCCUGUUUUUUCACUGUGAUUCUCUCCAAGCUGUUGAGGAGAGAGGAUGCAUUUUUCUGCUCCUGAAGAGGCAAGAUGUCUUUCUGUAAUAUACCAGCUUUGAACUGUAAAUAAAAGCAAUAUAUGGAGUAUGCAACACAUUUUCCUCAUCCUUCCGCUGGGCACGACAG